rnacentral:rRNA from 1 species
UACGGGGGGUGCAAGCGUUGCUCGGAAUCACUGGGCGUAAAGCGUCCGCAGGUGGAGAGGAAAGUCGGUCGUGAAAGCCCGAGGCUCAACCUCGGAACUGCGAUCGAAACUUCCUCCCUCGAGUUCGGGAGAGGGGAGCGGAAUUCCUGGUGUAGAGGUGAAAUUCGUAGAUAUCAGGAGGAACACCGGUGGCGAAAGCGGCUCCCUGGCCCGAAACUGACACUCAUGGACGAAAGCGUGGGGAGCAAACAGG